rnacentral:rRNA from 1 species
GACGAACGCUGGCGGCGUGCUUAACACAUGCAAGUCGAGCGGUAAGGCCCUUUCGGGGUACGACGAGCGGCGAACGGGUGAGUAACACGUGGGUGACCUGCCCUCAGCUCUGGGAUAAGCCUGGGAAACCGGGUCUAAUACUGGAUAUGACUCCAUGACGCAUGUUGUGGGGUGGAAAGCCUUGUGCGGCUGAGGAUGGGCCCGCGGCCUAUCAGCUUGUUGGUGGGGUGAUGGCCUACCAAGGCGACGACGGUAGCCGGCCUGAGAGGCGACCGGCCACACUGGGACUGAGACACGGCCCAGACUCCUACGGGAGGCAGCAGUGGGGAAUCUUGCGCAAUGGGCGAAAGCCUGACGCAGCGACGCCGCGUGAGGGAUGACGGCC